UUUGAAAAUUUUGACUUUUUGACGAUGAAUAGUAAAAUACUGCUAUUUCGUCUUUUUGUCGACUUUCAAAAUCUUACGUGCACGUCGUCGAGAAAUAUUCUUAGUUUUUCGAUACAAGUCCAAUAAUGAAAGUUUUUAUUUUUGGACGACGAGUGAAUAGUAAAUCGGGAUUUCUCGAUAAACGAACCGAGCUCGUUUAUCAGAAUUUUGAGAACGAGCUUGCGUUUUCUAUAUUUAUAUAGAAUUACGAGUGCAAUGAAAGUGAGUAGAGGUUGAGAGGGCGAGUAACAAAGAGUAUGGGUUGUUAGUUGUUAAAACGAGACGAUACGAGAUAUUUAACGACUAACGGGUUAAUAUCCUAAAUAUCUAACCUACCCUACCCCUAACCACCCCCAAACCUCCCAAAACCCCUUUCCCCUCACUAACUCACGCUAUAUCAGCCCACACCACACACACAACUCACAUAUUCACACACACAACACCUAAAACACACACUACACACGCCAUUUUCCAUUUAAGCUUGGACGGAGCUUUUGACCUCCGAUUUGAGCACCGAGACAAGCGCCGAUCAUCUUUUCGAUCACGUAUCUAAGUAGGUCCUUUUGGGAAGUAACGACUUGAGGGAGAGAGUGACGUUACUCAUUGAUACAGAGACACAACGAGGUUGAGCUGAUGUGAUGAUGGUGCUGCAAUGAGCGGAGUCUCCAGGGUUGUUAAUAAAUAGUUAACCUGUCUAGAAUAUGUCUUCAUACAUAUGUCUAGCUACUUUCCGCUGCAAGAUGUUGUUGAUGUUAUAGUAUGUUAUGUCAUACUUUGAGUCUUAAGAGAAUGGUUGCAUAUGAUGUAUAACUUGAUUAAUGAUAUUAAUUAACUUUUAUGCAGUCUUUCAGACUGUUUUCAAUUGAGUAUUAAUGAAUAAAAAUGACGAGUUUUAUUAA